AACCAUUCUCACCUGCGGCUAGACCUGCGGAGGGAUCAUUACCGAGUUUACAACUCCCAAACCCCUGUGAACAUACCACUUGUUGCCUCGGCGGAUCAGCCCGCUCCCGGUAAAACGGGACGGCCCGCCAGAGGACCCCUAAACUCUGUUUCUAUAUGUAACUUCUGAGUAAAACCAUAAAUAAAUCAAAACUUUUAGCAAUGGAUCU
rnacentral:misc_RNA from 1 species